rnacentral:rRNA from 1 species
AUUGAACGCUGGCGGCAUGCCUUACACAUGCAAGUCGAACGGUAACGGGCCUUCGGGUGCCGACGAGUGGCGAACGGGUGAGUAAUGCAUCGGAACGUACCUUUCAGUGGGGGAUAACGUAGCGAAAGUUACGCUAAUACCGCAUAUUCUGUGAGCAGGAAAGCAGGGGAUCGCAAGACCUUGCGUUCGAGGAGCGGCCGAUGUCGGAUUAGCUAGUUGGUGGGGUAAAGGCCUACCAAGGCGACGAUCCGUAGCGGGUCUGAGAGGAUGAUCCGCCACACUGGGACUGAGACACGGCCCAGACUCCUACGGGAGGCAGCAGUGGGGAAUUUUGGACAAUGGGCGCAAGCCUGAUCCAGCCAUGCCGCGUGAGUGAAGAUGGCCU